UACGUAGGUGGUGAGCGUUGUCCGGAUUUACUGGGCGUAAAGCGCGCGCAGGCGGGCUGGUCAGUCCGGGGUGAAAUCUCACGGCUCAACCGUGAGCGGUCCCCGGAUACUGCCAGUCUUGAGGUGUCUAGAGGAGAGUGGAAUUCCUGGUGUAGCGGUGAAAUGCGCAGAUAUCAGGAAGAACACCAAUGGCGAAGGCAGGUCUCUGGGCAUUAACUGACGCUGAGGAGCGAAAGCAUGGGGAGCGAACAGG
rnacentral:rRNA from 1 species